rnacentral:rRNA from 1 species
UCGCUGGCGGCGUGCCUAAUACAUGCAAGUCGAGCGAACAGAUGAGAAGCUUGCUUCUCUGAUGUUAGCGGCGGACGGGUGAGUAACACGUGGGUAACCUACCUAUAAGACUGGGAUAACUCCGGGAAACCGGGGCUAAUACCGGAUAAUAUUUUGAACCGCAUGGUUCAAUAGUGAAAGACGGUUUCGGCUGUCACUUAUAGAUGGACCCGCGCCGUAUUAGCUAGUUGGUAAGGUAACGGCUUACCAAGGCGACGAUACGUAGCCGACCUGAGAGGGUGAUCGGCCACACUGGAACUGAGACACGGUCCAGACUCCUACGGGAGGCAGCAGUAGGGAAUCUUCCGCAAUGGGCGAAAGCCUGACGGAGCAACGCCGCGUGAGUGAUGAAGGUCUUCGGAUCGUAAAACUCUGUUGUUAGGGAAGAACAAAUUUGUUAGUAACUGAACAAGUCUUGACGGUACCUAACCAGAAAGCCACGGCUAACUACGUGCCAGCAGCCGCGGUAAUACGUAGGUGGCAAGCGUUAUCCGGAAUUAUUGGGCGUAAAGCGCGCGUAGGCGGUUUCUUAAGUCUGAUGUGAAAGCCCACGGCUCAACCGUGGAGGGUCAUUGGAAACUGGGAAACUUGAGUGCAGAAGAGGAGAGUGGAAUUCCAUGUGUAGCGGUGAAAUGCGCAGAGAUAUGGAGGAACACCAGUGGCGAAGGCGGCUCUCUGGUCUGUAACUGACGCUGAUGUGCGAAAGCGUGGGGAUCAAACAGGAUUAGAUACCCUGGUAGUCCACGCCGUAAACGAUGAGUGCUAAGUGUUAGGGGGUUUCCGCCCCUUAGUGCUGCAGCUAACGCAUUAAGCACUCCGCCUGGGGAGUACGACCGCAAGGUUGAAACUCAAAGGAAUUGACGGGGACCCGCACAAGCGGUGGAGCAUGUGGUUUAAUUCGAAGCAACGCGAAGAACCUUACCAAAUCUUGACAUCCUUUGACCGCUCUAGAGAUAGAGUCUUCCCCUUCGGGGGACAAAGUGACAGGUGGUGCAUGGUUGUCGUCAGCUCGUGUCGUGAGAUGUUGGGUUAAGUCCCGCAACGAGCGCAACCCUUAAGCUUAGUUGCCAUCAUUAAGUUGGGCACUCUAGGUUGACUGCCGGUGACAAACCGGAGGAAGGUGGGGAUGACGUCAAAUCAUCAUGCCCCUUAUGAUUUGGGCUACACACGUGCUACAAUGGAUAAUACAAAGGGCAGCGAAUCCGCGAGGCCAAGCAAAUCCCAUAAAAUUAUUCUCAGUUCGGAUUGUAGUCUGCAACUCGACUACAUGAAGCUGGAAUCGCUAGUAAUCGUAGAUCAGCAUGCUACGGUGAAUACGUUCCCGGGUCUUGUACACACCGCCCGUCACACCACGAGAGUUUGUAACACCCGAAGCCGGUGGAGUAACCUUUUAGGAGCUAGCCGUCGAAGGUGGGACAA